AUUAUAUAAUAACUCGAUAAUGUAUCUUCUGCAUUCGUUUAAAAUAUGUUUGACCGCGAACAAUAGAGAAAAACCGGAAGAAUUUAUUUGGAGAACAGAAGAAACUUACCCUUGGGCUUGCUGGUAGCUAAAAAAACUGCAAAUAAAUGCACACCUUUACACAAACUCGUGUAUAUACGAUCACACCUACAUAAGGAAUUCGUAUAACCCAGCCAGUUGCUGCGGUGCGCAAGAGUAAUAAAAAAAGAAACGCGAGAGGAAAGGACCGUUGGCAAAGAGAGGCGGCAACGGAAGCAACGUCGAAGAGAUGUUAUAUAUGUGAAACAGAAUGAGAAAGAGAAACGGUACACGCGUACGCCUGUGUUAGUAAAAUUAUGGUGGGGAUGGUUACAUAGAGUCGCUACUAGGCGUGGCAUGUGGAACCACCCAACCGACCAAUCAGAACAGGAGGCGUUAUCUAGACGUAUAACAAUGCUUCGUGUAAUACAUAGUUCAGUGAUUCUCAACCGGUAUCAAAUCAACUUUUUGACCGUAAAGAAAUCGUGCAAUCGUGAAAAUUUGUUCAAAUAUAAAGGUUCGAGCACACGUCUCGUACGAAAUAAAAGCUCGAAAACUAAUUGUUUCUAAAUUACACCGUCAUGGAAAAUAAUUAAUGUGUGCGAGCAGUAUAUUAUCCUCAUGAAAGCCUUUAUCACACCACGGUGGGAUGAAACGGGGCUUAAGUACCGCCUACGUUAGAAAUCAUUGACACAGGCGCAACUCGUGAGGUUAUGCGGCUGCGUUGGUACGACGAAAGCUUUUCCAGAAUCCGGAACGAUAGAAGGAGGCAGAGAAACAAAGAGAAAGCGAUGAAGAGAGAGAUGAUGAGACAGUGGUGAAAAGAGGGACAGAAAGGGAGGUGCGAACAGAGAGAGAAAGAUGGAAGAAAGGGUAGCAAGUUGGAGGAACGUUGGUCUACGCUCGGUGGGGAGUCCAGCGUGCACCGUGCAUCCAGUUGUAUACCUAAAUGCGUACGGCACUGUUUUAAUAGUACACACGCGUAGUCACGGCCCAAUGAAUUGAUCCCGCGAGGUGCAUCCCCCGGAUAAAAAAGAUGUCGCGCCAUCUUUGAGGGCACUCCCGCUUCCAGAGGGCUAGCGCGCGCAUUUUCGAUCGUGGACCGUCACCCAGCGCAUAGGUUUUUCUCUAAGCAAACGCGCGUGUUUAAAACAAGUUCUGAUUAAGAAUGAAAGAAUCAUUAAAUUAUCGCCAUAAAUCGUUUAAAAUUGCCGCUAAAUUAUGGGACCGAUAAUGUUAAGACCAAUGAAAAAAUAAAAUUUGAGUAUCGUAAAAUUAUUACUUAAAUAAUAAUAUUGAGAUAUGUAAUAUUCCAAACAUUAAAUGUUUAUAAUUCGCAAUAUUUUAAUACAUACAUAUAUAUAUAUAUACAUAGUGUUAACAUAAUAAAAAUAACUGUCAGCUCUGCGUUUAAAAUGGUUUAAAAAUUAACAUUGUAAAAGUGUCAUUUCAAUCGCGUUCUUGAUGUAUAAUCGAAAACGAAGGUUUCCGUUUACAUUCAUUGAAGUUCCGUCGGGCGGAUAAAGAUGUGUGUGAAAGGAAGUGAACAGUAAUUUUUUUAUCAAGACUUACUUAGAACAGAUCGUAAUUAACACGAAGUACUUUCAGUUUAACAAUAAUAGUGUAGAGUAACAUUUAUUAAUUAAUUAUAGAAGAGAGAGAGAGACAGAGAAAAAAGAGUCAGUAGAAUUAGUUAAUAUAUAAAGAAAUAACAAUAAUAUUCGAUGGAAUUCCGUGAACGAUUGAAGUGCGUCAAGUACCGACGGCUUGAUCAAAGUGUUCGCUCUUUGAGACACCCCCGCUGCCAAAAUUACUUUCGCACCAAGGGUGACUAAUUGACUCUUCCCGGUGAAAUACCGGUGAGAUUAUGGGUUUAUUUAAAGGUAAGUAAAAACCAGUUAGAUUUACAUACUUUUGCAUUUAAAUAAAUAUCUGCAAGUUGCAAAGGUAAGUACAAAAUACUUGGCUAUAAUAAAAAAAAAAAUAAAAAAAAAAAAAAAUAAGAUAGAAAAGAAA
rnacentral:lncRNA from 1 species